AUAAAACUUUCAAACCAGGAACAGAACAUUUUCUAAAUUUUGUUCAUAGUAUAAUUGGCUGUAAAAUAGCAUACAAAGCUACUUUAGGAUCUACGUUGUCCAACUCUUGUGAGAUUUCCUUGAACCAGUUAGAGGAAGUAUUAGAGAACAACAUUGAGCAUCAGUCAGAACAAUGAGUUAGUGGCUCUGGACUUGCUAUAGAACUGUUAAAAGGUUCUUUGACUAGUGCACAGGCUUCCAGGAAUGCGAUGGUUUCUUACGUUCCAGUAGAAUUGCUGUGUUUGUGCACUGUAGCAUCAAAGCAUCAUUCGGCACCUUAAAGGUAUGAUUAAUUAUUGUUGUACAGACAUUCAUGGACCAGAGUCCAUUUGAUCAGAUUCAUGGAAUCUAAUCCCAAGUUGACAGGUAUAUCUUGAAGCUAGUAAUUUCCACUCUGUUUGGCUGAAUGUGAUAUCAUAAAGUGUAACACAUUUCAGAGGUGUAGCUUGUGGGGAGACUGAAGUUAGUGCUUUUGAUAGGAUUUAGAGACUUAAAAUAAGUGAGCAAGUACAUACAAUACUCAUACACAUGAGUUGUGCUGUCAUAUUUAAAGCAUGGAAGAAAAACUUCAGAGCCAGAGGGUUGUAGUAGUUUCAGUGUUGGCCUAUGACUCUGGAGACCAGACCAGGGAUUGAUUCCCUGCUCAGCCAUGGAAACCCACUGGGUGAUCUCGUCACACUGUCUCUUGAUGCUUCAAAGGAAGACAAAGGCAAUUCCCCUUUGAACAGAUCUUUCCAAGUAAACCCUGUGAUAAUUUUGUCCAGGGGUCACUGUAAGUCGGAAAUGAAGGCAUACAACAACAAAGAAAAACUUGUUCUGGGUCAUGUGUGUAAUAAAAAAUCAAAGAUACAGAAUGGGGGACGCCUGGCUUGACAGCAGUGUGUGCGAAAAAGACCUUGGAGUCCUCGUGGACAACAAGUUAAACAUGAGCCAACAAUGUGAUGCGGCUGCUAAAAAAGCCAAUGGGAUUCUGGCCUGCAUCAAUAGGGGAAUAGCGUCUAGAUCCAGGGAAGUUAUGCUCCCCCUCUAUUCUGCCUUGGUCAGACCACACCUGGAAUACUGUGUCCAAUUUUGGGCACCACAGUUGAAGGGAGAUGUUGACAAACUGGAAAGCGUCCAGAGGAGGGCGACUAAAAUGAUUAAGGGUCUGGAGAACAAGCCCUAUGAGGAGCGGCUUAAAGAGCUGGGCAUGUUUAGCCUGCAGAAGAGAAGGCUGAGAGGAGACAUGAUAGCCAUGUACAAAUACGUGAAGGGAAGUCAUAGGGAAGAGGGAGCAAGCUUGUUUUCUGCUGCCCUGCAGACUAGGACACGGAACAAUGGCUUCAAACUACAGGAAAGGAGAUUCCACUUGAACAUCAGGAAGAACUUCCUCACUGUGAGAGCUGUUCGACAGUGGAACUCUCUCCCCGGGGCCGUGGUGGAGGCUCCUUCCUUGGAGGCUUUUAAGCAGAGGCUGGAUGGCCAUCUGUCGGGGGUGCUUUGAAUGCGAUUUCCUGCUUCUUAGCAGGGGGUUGGACUAGAUGGCCCAUGUGGUCUCUUCCAACUCUACUAUUCUAUGAUUCUAUGAUUCUAUGAAUUUUGGAAUUGAAACAGAAGCUUUUUAGUGACAUACAAGAUUGUAUAUAUGAGAUGGGAGGAAUUAUAUACAUAUUUGGGACUAGAUAUCAAAAAUUAUGCUUGGGUCAUGCUGUCUACGCUUAUCAUAUCGUUACCGUAAGGAAAUGAUCCUGAAAGAAGAGCCCAUACUCUUUGGUUGAGACACAAUGCAGUAUCAUUGUGUUUCAUGCCAGAUAGACUGGGGUUCAGAUUCUCACUCAACUAAGAGGCAUGCUGUGUCCAGGGCCAUAGCCAGAAAAUUUUUUGGAGGAGGUUUUGAUCAUUUCGGGAGGGGGUGAACCCCUAAACCACCCCUCCCCCGGCUACAGACCUGUCAAUAUCUGCUUGGGAUAGUGCCUGGAGGGACUCUUAAUUUUUUGCGUCUCAUAGACUUAGCAUGGGGAUUUGGUUAACCAGUUAAAAUUCAUGAGUAAACCAGGUUUUUUUAAAACUUGAAAGAUUUCGGGGUGGUUUGAACACCUAACCCCCCCCCCCCCCUCCGGCUACAGGCCUGUGUGUGGCAGUGGCAUUGUCAGGGACUUAAAAGAUGCAGGGUCCUGGCCUGUGUAGGUCAUACAUCUAUAUAGAAUUUGCAUAUGAAAAUAAUAUGCUAGUCAGUGUGCUGUAGAGGUCUGAAUGCUGCAUUAGGACUCCAGAAGACCAGGGUUCAAAUCUUCACUCAACCAUGGAAACCACUGGAUAAUCUUAGGCAUGUCACAUGCUGUCAUACUCAGAGAAAGGCAAGGGCAAACCCUAUCUUAACAUACCUUGCCAAGAAAAUUCUUGAAUAGGGUAGUCUUAGUGUUGCCAUAAGCCUAGGAUGACUUGACAAGAGUGUUGUGCAGAGGAAAUACAAAAAAUCCGGAGCCCUUGGAAAUAGAUCCAAGGCUGGACCCUCAUGGAUGCCUUCUGUCCCAGGACUGUCUUGCUGUCUGAAGCAAAGAGAUUUAAGUUCAAUGUGCUAAAAAUCUACAGAAUAAACAAAAUAACUGCCAAUUUGAUCUAUUUGCUCCUCAGUGGCACCAUAAAAAUAUCUUUAGUGACCUACAAGAUUGUAUAUACCAUUAAAAACUAUCUGUGCCCCAUGAAAUUGUCAGCUCUUCCUUAUUAUACUAGGGGUUCUUUAGUCUAACCAUCACUUGUCUCCUAGUCUAUAUCUGAGAGAUGUACCGAGCCAAACAAGAACGUCUGUAUGGAUAAAACCUUGAACUCUGUAGGAAAGGUUCUAUACAAAAAAGAGAGAAGGAGAGGGAGGAAAAAGUGCCAAAGCCAGCACUUUGAAAAAAAAGAAGACUGUAAGUAAUCACUUAAAGAAGAAGAAAAAAGCUUCACAGUUGGGCUCAUCCACUCUGCCCUGCUGCUCUUCAGUCAUCUCUAAGCCGGCUCCAGGUGAGAUGCGCCAUGCUAGCAGAUGACGCCCUUCUCUCCAUCUGGGGAGCAGGAGGAGAAUGGUAGCAGUACAGAUCAGCUGAACCGAAAUGAGAAGAGAAAUACUGUCAUGCAGAGGCCAUGGAGAGCAUUUGGAAGCAACACAGGGAAGUCACCCAAUGCAGCUGAGGUCCUGAUGGUAUACAGAUUGACCAUGCUUGAUUUAAUUCAUGCCAACAGAAGCAUCCUCAAUCUUUCAUAAGAAAAGUUACUUUUUUUGACUGCACGUCUUAGCAAAUUCUGUAAUACAAAAAUAGCUUUGCUGUACUCUGCCUUUCACAAAGGGCAUAAUUAGAAAGCAAUACAAGUGGAGAAUCAAAUUAUCUCCCUUUCUCUAAAGAUCAUUGAUUGAUAUAAAAACAAGCGAAGUCUUGCCACUGCAGAUCAGACUCCUAGAUAAGAUCAUGUCAGAGGAAGAAAAGAACCAGCCAGGUCCAUCUGCCAGCCAGUGAAGGAGGAGACUUGGAAGGGAAAUUGCUUUUCCCAGACCUAUGAGAAAGAAGGAUAGGACUGGAGAGUUGAAGGGAAGGAUGACCUGAUCUCUUCCAUUUGCUGAAGGGCCAGUGGUCGGGCAUUAAACCUGUUGCUUCCACAAAGAAAACUGCAGAAAGAAGGACAACCUGGUCCCUUCCAUUGACCAGAGAAGAAAGGACUGGAAGAAAAUUGACUAUCUUCUACUUGCUAAGAAGAAGUCUUGAUUUCAAAUGCCAGUUCUCUGGGACUGCAGAACUUGAAGGAAGCAAUCUCUUCCUACUUCAUCUUUUCCCCAGCCACAGGACCAAACUCAGCAGCUUCUUACACCUGCUACUACCUGCUUCGCUGACUCUGCUGGAGCCCACAGAUGUGCCGGUGUGAUUAAAUGCAAGAAAUGGAAGCUUAGUGGAGAAAUGCCACUGAGGGGACCCUUAUGAGUGUGGAACAAGCCAUACAGCUGGAAUCAAGAUUUCCCUGUGCUCUCCUCACUGAUUUACAUGAUCACUGGGGGAUUUGGGGAGCAGGAAUAAGAAGAGGGAAAUGAAGAAAGGUCUGACUGAGGAAGGGGGGCACCAGGCGGGAUCUGCUUGGAAGCAAAUACAAAAUAAGACUACAAAGAGAUUAAACUGAGACUGUUAUACUUUGAAGAGAACUGAGUUUAAAGACAGAGCUUAAGAUACCACCAAUUCUAAGAUGCUUUCCUUUCCAUCUGGAGAAGAGAAAUGAGUUUAAAGACAGCGCUUAAGGUACCACUAAUUCUGAGAUGUUUUUCUCUCCAUCUGCAGAAGAGAACUGGGUUUAAAGACAGGGCUUAAGAUACUCCUCCUCCUGUGAAGCUUUCCACUCAGAAAGCAGUGACGGGUGAGACAGGUAGCAAGUGUGGCGGAGGGUGUUAUUCUCCUCCGAUUGGCCCAACAGGCAGGGCUUAGAGGGAAAUAGCAGUCGGCAAUUCUGUGUGGGUGAGGAAUGCCACGUGGCCCAAAAAGCAGGCAAGGAAAUGAUACCUGCUCCCGCUUUCUUUCGUUUUGAGCUUAUUUUCGUUCUGAGGGAGGGGUUACCAUUUCGGGCUCUCGCCUGAAACUAAAGGAACAAAAGAACGAAUGAAAUGGGAGAAACUGAUACCACGCACACCUCUAUUGUAUACAAUGUGAGUUGAGUAUUUGUGGAGUUUGGAAUCCACUGGGUUUUCUGAAACCAAACCCCAGCAGACGUUAAAGGCUCACUUCAUAUGAAAUAGUUUCUCAAUUUAAAACCGAUUAAAACAAUCCUGAAAAAUAAAAUAACAAAAUACAUGCAAACUGAAUAAAAUCAGUUUGACUCGCAUAAGUGGAUGCAAAUUCCUCGCUUUAUAUCCACCAUCACAACACUUUGAUUUUUAAGAUGGUGCAGGAAGGAUGGUUUCCUGAAAUCUAUCCUAUGUAGCUUCCUGUUGUUAGCUGUUAAUAUGUUGCAAGAUAUUUGUAGCUUGCUGUCACAUUGCUCUGUGACUCAUUGUUCCUAUAAACAGCACUUUAAAAGUUUCUGUAAAUGAUCUUCUCCAACCCAACCCCCUCAGAUACUGUACAAUACCCUUCACUCAGGCAUCCUUUGAUCAAACAUUUGGCAAAUGUGUUCUUACUUUUGAAACACUGAGUAGCUGAGUAGGUUGAGAGCUAUCUAUGAACAAGCAGGACUUUAAAAAGACAACGGAGGAAGGUGUUGCUGUCAGAUGUCUGGAAAACCAAUGAAUUAUGCCUUUCAUUAAAAAAUGAGUCUAGUUGUCAUGUGUGGGCUUCCUUCCUUCCUUAGUCCGAGGGAUUACACUAGAGCUUUCUAGCAGAGAAUUCAAAGUACUUCACUGAAUUCAAUUUCAAAGGAUUUUGUAAACGAAUCCAUGGCAUCAAAAGUGGUUUCAGACUUCUAGAACUAUGUAGUACAGACACACUUUAAGAAAUCAAUGAUAAAACAGUGAUUGCAUUUGGCCUGUAACAGUUUCCUGCAACAGGAAAUUCAGAGAAUGAGCCCAGAGAAAUGGACAAAUGAGUAGAAGAGUUCUAGGCCAUUCUGUAUUAGUUCUGGGACAAUUGAGCUUCAUAGAAGUUUGCAGUUCUGUAUUAGGACAGAGUAGGUUUUAGUGAUGAAUUGAAACAGAGAAAGAAUGUGACUAUACUAUUCACAAGCAUGAAGAUGAAUAUUAAAUUCCCUUAAAACUUAUUUAUUUUAUUCUAUCAUCAUGCAGUCUGAGAAGAUGAUUGCCCUGAAUAAAAUGUGCUAGUUGUGUUUACAAAUUUCGGCUUGAGAAUUUGUUUUUUGACCAUAUUUUUCAGCAAGUAGCAUGGCUGAAAAUUAUGUUUUGAAAAGACUGAAAUAGUUUUCAAGUAUUUAGCAAUGCUGUUGGGCUUUGGCUUUUGGUAGAGCAAAAAGCAUUAUGAAUAUGUAGCUUUAAGAACACAGACAGAAAUGACUUCUUGCUCUUGUCACUAUUUCUCAUUGAAAUAAUACUUAAGCUACACCUGGGACUUUUUAUGCUUUACUUGUGAAUCCUCCUAGUUUCUUCCAGGGAUGAUCCUACCAUUAGACAGAGUGGAACAUUUACUUCAGGCAGGAGGUUUAGGCAGCCACAAAUAAAUUGUGAAUGGUUAGUUUAAUGAUGGUAACAACAACAACAACAACAACAACAACAACAACAACAAUUCUACUGUCAAGAAGUGGGUAAUAAACAUGAUAUUUUCUGCUUCAGCUGCCAAAAUAUCUGGAUAAAGUCUCUGUUACUUCUCUGGCUCAUACCUUGGGCCAAAUCUAACUUACAAUAGCAUGGAUACUAAUAUUUAUUAUUUAUUAAUCACCUAUGGUCAGUAGUUACUGGUCAAAUUUUUAAGAAUGCAGUCGGAAUGCUCUAAAUCAGUUUUGAGAUAAAAUCAGAUAGGGAACAGGCAGGGAACACUGUGCUUGUAUAAAUUAAUGGAAAAAGGAGAUUAUGUGACUUGAUUGCCAAAGUUUAGGAAGAGUUCAGAAACGUUACUUUUUGGUUUACAACUCCCAGAAUCUCCUCAUUAGCUUCUUACUUUUAGGGUUGAGAACUAUUCCAGGCCCUGAGAUUUCUCACAGGAACAGCAUCUGAUGAUGUUAUUGUGUGUGAUAACAUUAAAUAUUAACUACAGUUGUGCAAAUACGCAUUU